GAUGAACGCUGGCGGCGUGCCUAAUACAUGCAAGUCGAGCGAACGGACGAGAAGCUUGCUUCUCUGAUGUUAGCGGCGGACGGGUGAGUAACACGUGGAUAACCUACCUAUAAGACUGGGAUAACUUCGGGAAACCGGAGCUAAUACCGGAUAAUAUUUUGAACCGCAUGGUUCAAAAGUGAAAGACGGUCUUGCUGUCACUUAUAGAUGGAUCCGCGCUGCAUUAGCUAGUUGGUAAGGUAACGGCUUACCAAGGCGACGAUGCGUAGCCGACCUGAGAGGGUGAUCGGCCACACUGGAACUGAGACACGGUCCAGACUCCUACGGGAGGCAGCAGUAGGGAAUCUUCCGCAAUGGGCGAAAGCCUGACGGAGCAACGCCGCGUGAGUGAUGAAGGUCUUCGGAUCGUAAAACUCUGUUAUUAGGGAAGAACAUAUGUGUAAGUAACUGUGCACAUCUUGACGGUACCUAAUCAGAAAGCCACGGCUAACUACGUG
rnacentral:rRNA from 1 species